UUGUAUGUUUGAUGUUCUAACUUAGACCCGUUAUCCGGGUUGAGGACAGUGCCUGGUGGGUAGUUUGACUGGGGCGGUCUCCUCCCAAAGAGUAACGGAGGAGCACGAAGGUGGGCUAAUCACGGUUGGACAUCGUGAGGUUAGUGCAAUGGCAUAAGCCCGCUUAACUGCGAGAAUGACGGUUCGAGCAGGUGCGAAAGCAGGUCAUAGUGAUCCGGUGGUUCUGUAUGGAAGGGCCAUCGCUCAACGGAUAAAAGGUACUCCGGGGAUAACAGGCUGAUACCGCCCAAGAGUUCAUAUCGACGGCGGUGUUUGGCACCUCGAUGUCGGCUCAUCACAUCCUGGGGCUGAAGUCGGUCCCAAGGGUAUGGCUGUUCGCCAUUUAAAGUGGUACGCGAGCUGGGUUUAGAACGUCGUGAGACAGUUCGGUCCCUAUCUGCCGUGGGCGUUGGAAGAUUGAAGGGGGCUGCUCCUAGUACGAGAGGACCGGAGUGGACGAACCUCUGGUGUUCGGGUUGUGUCGCCAGACGCAUUGCCCGGUAGCUAAGUUCGGAAUCGAUAACCGCUGAAAGCAUCUAAGCGGGAAGCGAGCCCUGAGAUGAGUCUUCCCUGAUACUUUAAGUAUCCUAAAGGGUUGUUCGAGACUAGAACGUUGAUAGGCAGGGUGUGUAAGCGUUGUGAGGCGUUGAGCUAACCUGUACUAAUUGCCCGUGAGGCUUAACCAU
rnacentral:rRNA from 1 species